AAUAGCUCAAAUUUGAAAGCUGGCGUCUUCGACGUCCGCGUUGUAAUUUGUAGAGGAUGCUUCGGCGAAGACUCCUGCCUAAGUCCCCUGGAACGGGGCGUCAUAGAGGGUGAGAAUCCCGUAUGUGGCGGGCAGUCUAAGCCAUGUGAAGCUCCUUCGACGAGUCGAGUUGUUUGGGAAUGCAGCUCUAAAUGGGAGGUAAAUUUCUUCUAAAGCUAAAUAUUGGCCAGAGACCGAUAGCGCACAAGUAGAGUGAUCGAAAGAUGAAAAGCACUUUGGAAAGAGAGUUAAAAAGUACGUGAAAUUGUUGAAAGGGAAGCGCUUGCAACCAGACUCGCUCGUAGUUGCUCAGCCGGCCUCUUGGCCGGUGUACUCUUCUACGAUCGGGCCAGCAUCAGUUCGGGCGGCAGGAUAAAGGUGUCGGGAAUGUAGCACCCUUCGGGGUGUGUUAUAGCCCGGCGCGGAAUGCUGCCAGCCUGGACUGAGGAUCUCGCUUCGGCAAGGAUGCUGGCGUAAUGGUUGUAAGCGGCCCGUCUUGAAACACGGACCAAGGAGUCUAACAUCUAUGCGAGUGUUUGGGUGUCAAACCCAUGCGCGUAAUGAAAGUGAACGGAGGUGGGAACCCCUCACGGGGUGCACCAUCGACCGAUCCUGAUGUCUUCGGAUGGAUUUGAGUAAGAGCAUAGCUGUUGGGACCCGAAAGAUGGUGAACUAUGCCUGAAUAGGGUGAAGCCAGAGGAAACUCUGGUGGAGGCUCGCAGCGGUUCUGACGUGCAAAUCGAUCGUCAAAUUUGGGUAUAGGGGCGAAAGACUAAUCU
rnacentral:rRNA from 1 species